CGAAGGGGCUAGCGUUGCUCGGAAUGACUGGGCGUAAAGGGCGCGUAGGCGGAUGUUUUAGUCAGGCGUGAAAGUCCUGGGCUCAACCUGGGGAUUGCGUUUGAUACGGGGCAUCUAGAGUUGGGAAGAGGGUCGUGGAAUUCCCAGUGUAGAGGUGAAAUUCGUAGAUAUUGGGAAGAACACCGGUGGCGAAGGCGGCGACCUGGUCCUUGACUGACGCUGAGGCGCGAAAGCGUGGGGAGCAAACAGGAUU
rnacentral:rRNA from 1 species